CAGAGAUGCUUUGGUGGCCUUCCGGGAACGUCCUGAGACAGGUGCUGCAUGGCUGUCGUCAGCUCGUGUUGUGAAAUGUUGGGUUAAGUCCCGNAACGAGCGCAACCCUUAUCCUUUGUUGCCAGCGGUUCGGCCGGGAACUCAAAGGAGACUGCCGGUGAUAAACCGGAGGAAGGUGGGGAUGACGUCAAGUCAUCAUGGCCCUUACGGCCAGGGCUACACACGUGCUACAAUGGCGCAUACAAAGAGAAGCGACCUCGCGAGAGCAAGCGGACCUCAUAAAGUGCGUCGUAGUCCGGAUUGGAGUCUGCAACUCGACUCCAUGAAGUCGGAAUCGCUAGUAAUCGUAGAUCAGAAUGCUACGGUGAAUACGUUCCCGGGCCUUGUACACACCGCCCGUCACACCAUGGGAGUGGGUUGCAAAAGAAGUAGGUAGCUUAACCUUCGGGAGGGCGCUUACCACUUUGUGAUUCAUGACUGGGGUGAAGUCGUAACAAGGUAGGCGUAGCGAG
rnacentral:rRNA from 1 species